rnacentral:lncRNA from 1 species
AGUCCUCACCUCCCACAUGCUUUUCAUCACCCGCUCUCACAUCCCAUCUGGGGCCUCUGCUUCCAUCCUACCAUUUCGCAAGCCUGGCCAACUCAAGCUCCGUGUGCUGCACCUAGAGCAGCCCAUCUCUGUGUCAGGAGCAUUCAAGGAGGAAUGGCUUCAUGAUGGCAAUGAGCGGCAUCGCCUGAAAGACAGCCUUCGAGAGUCUCCCAGAGCCGCUGAGGAGCAAGGCACUACCUGCUCUCACUCUUCUGUUAUCUUCAACCCAUCUUCUUUGCCCUAAACUCCUAGGCUCCCCCACCUACAUUCCACCAUAUUGAAGGGCUUACCUGUCUGGUGCCAGCAAAGACAGAGGUGAGCUGGUAUUAUGAAGUCAGAUGCAUCUUUCGAAAGGAAUGAAAGACUGAGGCUGGGAAAAGGGAAAGAAAUUUUUUUCUUCCCAGUGGAAACAUUCGCAUGCUACAAUUGGAGAAUGUGAUUCUGCCAGCUGGUCAUAUUGGGGCUGUGUCCUGACCUAUGGACCUCAUGUAUGCAAUUCUCUUUCUCAAAACAUAGCUUCGAGGUAGGCAUAAUUACUCCCUUUUGGUGAAUAACCAGUAGAUGGACCAGAAAGGUGAAGAACAUGCCAGUCACCCAGCUGCUAAGCCUCUGAGCCAGGAACUUAAUCCCAAGAGCAGAUUAUUGAGCGUGAACACAGUACCGGAACUCAGCAAUGUGGAGACUGCAAGAUGGCCAGUCCACCCCGGGAGGAAGCAGAGUGGCAUUUGAAGGGGAUAAGAUGACGUUCUUAUUUAUUUGUUAUGUGCAUGACCUGGUAGGCAGCAGGGCUGGAAUUUGCCUGAGAUCCUGAAGUUUGAAUCUUCAUCCAAUAUACUACCCUGCCCACAACAUGAGCCGUGGGAAGACAGACAUUCUCUAACUUCAGGAGGCAAACUUUUCCACGGGGGAGAGAGCUAUCAGUCAAAAACUUCUCACUGGGCAGGGGGUGCAGGUACAUUUUUCCUGCCGGAAGUUGCUGAAACGUCUGGGAGACUUUUAAGGUUGACUCGGCCAUGAACCUACUCCAGAUCCUGCUGCUUCCUUGGUUUCCAGAGCAACAGCACAGGAUCGGGAGAACAUACGUGGUAUCAGAUUUGGACAGGGAGGCGAGCAGCAGUGUUUGUCGGUGGGAACGGAGUGUGACACACACAGCCUGGGCUCUGUGCCUUGCCCAAGCUGUCACACGCACCACAUCCUCCAGAAGCGGGGUGGUAACAGCCUGGAAUCCACCAACCCCUUGCCUGUCUUUAAGGAAGAAUAGCAGUGAUGCAAGAAAGAGACAAAAUAAGGAAAAAGGCAGAAAGAGGAGACAUUGGUUCAGCUUGAAGAAAUUCCUACCCUGAUGUACACAGUAUCCCCACAGGGCCACAGGAUUAGAGAACAACUGCCGCUCCCAAAGUCUCCAGACACCUCCAACCCUUAUGACUUGGACAACAAUUUGCAAAAUUAAAUUACUUCUCAUGGGG